rnacentral:rRNA from 1 species
UACAGAGGUCUCAAGCGUUAUUCGGAUUCACUGGGCGUAAAGGGUGCGCAGGCGGCCGUGUGUGUCAGGUGUGAAAGCCCGGAGCUUAACUCCGGAAUUGCGCCUGAAACUACAUGGCUAGAGCAUUGGAGAGGGUAGCGGAAUUCACGGUGUAGCAGUGAAAUGCGUAGAUAUCGUGAGGAACACCAGAGGCGAAGGCGGCUACCUGGACAAUUGCUGACGCUCAGGCACGAAAGCGUGGGGAGCAAAAGGG